rnacentral:rRNA from 1 species
AUUGCUGCCCAGUGACUUUCAAGUUUAACGGCCGCGGUAUUCUGACCGUGCAAAGGUAGCAUAAUCAUUUGUUCCCCAAUUAGGGACUAGUAUGAAUGGCUAGACGAGGAUUCAACUGUCUCUUAUUCUCAAUCAGUGAAAUUGACCUUCCAGUGAAGAGGCUGGAAUAAAAUAAUAAGACGAGAAGACCCUAUGGAGCUUUAAUUAACUAGCCUAAUUAUAAUACUCAUACCCUAAUGGAACAAAACCAUAAACAUUAAGCUAACAAUUUCGGUUGGGGUGACCUCGGAGAACAAAAAACCCUCCGAAUGAUUAUAGCACAGACAAACAAGUCAAAGCAAUCCACUAUAUCUUAUUGACCCAAAAAUACUUUGACCAACGGACCAAGUUACCCUAGGGAUAACAGCGCAAUCCUAUUUAAGAGUUCAUAUCGACAAUUAGGGUUUACGACCUCGAUGUUGGAUCAGGACAUCCCAAUGGUGCAGAAGCUAUUAAAGGUUCGUUUGUUCACC